rnacentral:rRNA from 1 species
GGGCAACCCUGGUGGCGAGUGGCGGACGGGUGAGUAAAGCAUCGGAACGUAUCCUGGAGUGGGGGAUAACGUAGCGAAAGUUACGCUAAUACCGCAUAUUCUGUGAGCAGGAAAGCAGGGGAUCGCAAGACCUUGCGCUCUGGGAGCGGCCGAUGUCGGAUUAGCUAGUUGGUGGGGUAAAGGCCUACCAAGGCGACGAUCCGUAGCGGGUCUGAGAGGAUGAUCCGCCACACUGGGACUGAGACACGGCUCAGACUCCUACGGGAGGCAGCAGUGGGGAAUUUUGGACAAUGGGCGCAAGCCUGAUCCAGCCAUGCCGCGUGAGUGAAGAAGGCCUUCGGGUUGUAAAGCUCUUUCGGCGGGGAAGAAAUUGCACGGGUUAAUACCCUGUGUAGAUGACGGUACCCGAAUAAGAAGCACCGGCUAACUACGUGCCAGCAGCCGCGGUAAUACGUAGGGUGCGAGCGUUAAUCGGAAUUACUGGGCGUAAAGCGUGCGCAGGCGGCUUGGUAAGUCAGAUGUGAAAUCCCCGGGCUCAACCUGGGAACUGCAUUUGAGACUGCCAGGCUGGAGUUUGGCAGAGGGGGGUGGAAUUCCACGUGUAGCAGUGAAAUGCGUAGAGAUGUGGAGGAACACCGAUGGCGAAGGCAGCCCCCUGGGCCAAUACUGACGCUCAUGCACGAAAGCGUGGGGAGCAAACAGGAUUAGAUACCCUGGUAGUCCACGCCCUANACGAUGUCAACUAGGUGUUGGGAGGGUUAAACCUUUUA